rnacentral:rRNA from 1 species
GAUUAACGCUGGCGGCGUGCAUAACACAUGCAAGUCGAACGAUGAAACUUUAAUGAACCCUUCGGGGAGAAUUAAAGCGGAUUAGUGGCGAACGGGUGAGUAACGCGUGAGUAACCUGCCUUACACAAGGGGAUAGCCUUUGGAAACGAAGAAUAAUACCCUAUAAAACCAUAAAAGCACAUGCAAUUAUGGUCAAAGUGAUAGCGGUGUAAGAUGGACUUGCGUCUGAUUAGCUAGUUGGUGAGAUAAAAGCCCACCAAGGCAACGAUCAGUAGCCGGCUUGAGAGAGUAUACGGCCACAUUGGGACUGAGACACGGCCCAGACUCCUACGGGAGGCAGCAGUGGGGAAUUUUGCACAAUGGGGGAAACCCUGAUGCAGCGACGCCGCGUGAUUUAGAAGGCCUUCGGGUUGUAAAAAUCUUUUGUAUAGGAAGAAAAUGACAGUACUAUACGAAUAAGGUCCGGCUAAUUACGUGCCAGCAGCCGCGGUAAUACGUAAGGACCGAGCGUUGUCCGGAAUCAUUGGGCGUAAAGGGUACGUAGGCGGCUAGAAAAGUUAGAAGUCAAAGGCUAUAGCUCAACUAUAGUAAGCUUCUAAAACUAUUUAGCUUGAGAGAUGGAAGGGAAAGUGGAAUUCCUAGUGUAGCGGUGGAAUGCGCAGAUAUUAGGAGGAAUACCGGUGGCGAAGGCGACUUUCUGGCCAUUUUCUGACGCUGAGGUACGAAAGCGUGGGUAGCAAACAGGAUUAGAUACCCUGGUAGUCCACGCCGUAAACGAUGAGUGUUAGAUGUCUGGAGUCAAAUCUGGGUGCCGCAGCAAACGCAUUAACACUCCGCCUGGGGAGUACGCACGCAAGUGUGAAACUCAAAGGAAUUGACGGGGACCCGCACAAGCAGCGGAGCAUGUGGUUUAAUUCGACGCAACGCGAAGAACCUUACCAAGUCUUGACAUAUUUUAGAAGCAAUUAGAGAUAAUUGCCUAUAUCUUCGGAUAACUAAAAUACAGGUGGUGCAUGGUUGUCGUCAGCUCGUGUCGUGAGAUGUUGGGUUAAGUCCCAUAACGAGCGCAACCCCUAUUGCUAGUUACCAUCAUUAAGUUGGGGACUCUAGUAAUACUGCCGGUGACAAACCGGAGGAAGGUGGGGAUGACGUCAAAUCAUCAUGCCCUUUAUGACUUGGGCUACACACGUGCUACAAUGGCAGGUACACAGGGAAGCAAGACUGUGAAGUUAAGCAAAACUCAAAAAGCCUGUCCCAGUUCGGAUUGCACUCUGCAACUCGAGUGCAUGAAGUUGGAGUUGCUAGUAAUCGCAGAUCAGAAUGCUGCGGUGAAUGCGUUCCCGGGUCU